rnacentral:misc_RNA from 1 species
UCUCCGUAGGUGAACCUGCGGAGGGUUCAUUACUGAGCGAGGGCUUCGGUCCGACCUCCAACCCUUUGUGAACUACAACUCUGUUGCUUCGGGGGCGACCCCGCCGUUUCGACGACGAGCGCCCCCGGAGGCCUUCAAACACUGCAUCUUUGCGUCGGAGUUUAAGUAAAUUAAACAAAACUUUCAACAACGGAUCUCUUGGUUCUGGCAUCGAUGAAGAACGCAGC